rnacentral:rRNA from 1 species
UACGUAGGGUGCGAGCGUUAAUCGGAAUCACUGGGCGUAAAGCGCACGUAGGCGGAUCUUUUAAGUCGGGGGUGAAAUCCCAAGGCUCAACCUUGGAACUGCCUUUGAUACUGGGGAUCUCGAGUCCGGAAGAGGUUGGUGGAACUGCGAGUGUAGAGGUGAAAUUCGUAGAUAUUCGCAAGAACACCAGUGGCGAAGGCGGCCAACUGGUCCGGUACUGACGCUGAGGUGCGAAAGCGUGGGGAGCAAACAGG